CUCACAGUCUGACCCCAGGACAAGCACACAGAUGCUGCCUGCCACAGUAUACCUCACCAGUGUAACUGGCCUUCGGAGGAUUUCCUUUUACAGGUAUUUGUUGUGAGUCAAAACUGUGAUCUCUCCUGAUACUCACCAACAGGAUGGUUAAAGAUCUUGCUUGAUUGAGUUUCCAUCUCCCUUCAUCCUAUCAAGGAAAGUGAAGGAAGUGGAACGAACAGUGCCAAAUGUGCUCUCUGACUAGGGGUCAACGAGGACCAGGUCCAUGGAGUGAGCUUAUUCUCUGGUACCUCACCGAACAACAGACAGAUUCUACCACUCACCUCCACACUAGAGGCAAUUUAUGGUAACCAGUUAUUCUACCAACCUACACAUCUUUCAAAUUUGGGAGAAAACCAGAGUACUUGGAGGAAACCCACACAAUCACAGAAAGAACAUGCAAACUCUCCACUGAUAGCACCAGAAGUCAGGAUUGAACCCAGUCGCUGAAGCUGUGAGGCAACAGCUCUACAAGCUGCACCACUGUGUCAUCCAUACCUUCACAAAGUCCAAGAAAAGAUGAAGCUUUUGUAUCUUUUUUUUGUGCCUGUGAUCAUUUGGACAUCUGGUGGAAAUUACAUUACCCUCAUGCAUCUGAUGCAGUUGAAAGCACAUCACUGAGUAUCUGUUUGUUCUUCAGGACACUUCUGCAGAUGAUCUUAGCUGAAUUAAUUAGCCAUACCCACUCUUUAUAAAGGAAGAAGAUCAAAAGUUACUGUUGGCGAUGAGAAAAGGCAAAUGCAUUUAAUGGCAUUCCUCCCAUUGCUGUUUUAAUGGAGGCAAUCUACAUUUUAAAUAGGUGAACACCCCAAAAAAUAGAGAACUGAAGAAUUUCACAAUUUAUGAAGCACUUGAUCUAGUUUCCAAUAAAUAAAAUUGAUGACGAGUGUAACCGUGGAUCAAGGAAACUUAUCAAGUUCACUCAGUCAAAUAAAUUUAUUAUCAGAUAAUUCUAAAUUGAUAUUAAUCUCUGCCACAUUUUGUUAACCAUUUUAGGCCAAAAUUUCUCUCUCCUGCAACAUGUUGCGGUUCCUGAGCUGUUGUACUUGGUUGUUGAUAGCUAUCCUGUACUUUGCCCAAGUUGACAUCCUUCAUUUGGAACCUCGACCUCAAAAUAAAUCCCCAGGGUCUCUGCCUGGCAGAAUUCGCCUUCUAGAUCCCAACAGCAAAACAAAAGGGUGCUGGGGAUGUCCACUUAGAGCGUAAAACAUAGAACAAUUACAGCACAAUUCAGGCCCUUCGGCCCACAAAGCUGUGCCAAACAUGUCCCUACGCUAGAAAUUACUAGGCUUACCCAUAGCCCUCUAUUUUACUCUAUUUUUUUUCCACUUCUGUUGGGUUCACUAAGAACUCCAAAAUCUAAUCUUCUGACCCACUCCAACUGCACCCCUCCUUCACCCCUCCAAUCAGGAACUAACAUUGCUCUGCCUCAGAAGCCGUACAUGUUGACAAAAUGGAGUGGAACCAAGUAACACAUUCUCUGCAUUUAAACUAGCUCUGUAGUAAGUUUUGUUCAUUAGAAUGUGGUUCUUUCUAAAAAUAUGGACAUACUGGGGGUUAAGUUGCUGGACUGGAAUCAAGAGGCCUAGAGACACAGGAGACUGCAGAUACUGGAAUCUGCAGCAACACAAAAGGCUCGACCCAAAAUAUUGACUGUCUAUUUCCCUCCAUAGAUGCUGCCUGACCCACUGAGUUCCUCCAGCACCUUUUAUGUUAAUCAAGAGGCCAGGUUCAUUGGUAGGGAGGCAUAAGUUUGAAUCUUCCCAGAGAAGGUGGGAAAUUUUAAUUCAAGUAUUUAAAUGAAUCAGGAUCAGUAAUGGUGACCAUGUAAAAGCUGGAUUGUUGUUAAAAACCCAAUUGGUUCAUUAAUCUCUGGGAUAAGGAAGUUUUCCAUUUUUAUAAAAUGUAGGCUCAAUGUAAAUACAGACCACCCCAUAUCACCUUCUUAAUUAGCCUUGGAAACCAAUCACGUCAUAGGGCAAUUUGGAAUGCCCAUUAAAUGCCGACUGCAAAUACACAUGCUGUAAAGGAAUUAAACAGAAAAUCAAAUUGUCACAGCCAUUUAUUUCAGUUGCCACUCCAACAGCAUCUCCUCAAGCUGUGGCCUCUACCACCAAGAAGGCAAAGGCAACAGGGGAGUUUCCAGGAUUUGUACCCAGUGACAAUGAGGGACUUACAGUAUAUUUCCAAGUGUGCGCCUUGGAGGAGACCCAAGGAACCAAUGCAAUGGCACAUUGCAAGUACCUUCUUUCAGAAGGCUUCAGUGGCUCAAGAAAGCCGCCGUCUCAAGGGCAGUUAUGAGGGUGAUAGAUGUGGCCUUGCCAGCAGUGGUCACCUCCAGUAAAACAAAAAAAAUAUAAUUCAGAUUUUGUUUCCUGUAUUGACUCCUGCAAUUUGUUUCACUGAAGUAACAAAUGCUAAUGAAAUCAUGAGGAGGAAUUGGCCAGCAGACGUACUCAGCUACAUUAAUGGCAAGCGGAAUUAUUAUUACCAGAAAUUGCUUCUGGCCUGAGGUAGCGUGUGUCACUCAUUUUCAGGCUCAAUAGUCCCCUUGAGCCAGAUUCUCUGAUAUUGUCAUCAGCACUCAGUCUAAACAAAAAUCAAUACAAAUCGACCAAGAUUUUAUAUCCAAGCCUUAAACACGAGCAAAUUCAGCUCGUGGGAGGGCAAGAGUACAGAAAGAUCAUGCCUUGCACAUCUUUGGGAUGAGAAUGUAAACCCAGGUUCUGCCUUCCAUCUCAGGGGCUUGUUAAAGAUCCCAGCGUGGGGAUUCUGGCCAGUCAAGCUGUUUGGAGCAUUCAUUUCCGGCAUCACUGGAGCAGCUGUCACUGAGCCAUGGUCAGUAGAUGGAUUGAAACAGAGAGUCAUAACAGCAUGGAAGCAGGCCUUUCGGCCCAUUGUGUCUGUGCUGGCCAUCAAGUACCUAUCCAUACUAAUCCCAUUGUCCAUUGACUGAGUUUUGGAGAUUAUGGUCCAGGUUCUUAUUAUCCUAGAAAUGACAGAAGAUAAUGGCUUUCACAUACCUAAUUCUACUUCUCACAUCAAACCUGCUUUCAUUCACAAGUUGCAGAUGGCAGACUUUUUCACCGCACUCCCUCUCCUUACCACAGUCCAACCUCUGUGCCUUUCUGCAUUCAGAUCACCAGGUGGUAGUGGAAGGGCAAGUGAAUGGUGAAGGUGAAGAUGCCAGAUUAACACUGUGCUCCACUAGUGAUUCUGUAAAAAUUAAAGGUUCAGUUUAAAGGUAGAGUUUUGCUCUCCACACCAAGUCACGUGGCCAACCAGUGAAGCCGAUGUCAUCAAGUAGCCAUGCUUUGGCUUCUGAUGGCCUGGCAGAGUGCUGCAGAUUGAAAGCACAAUGACUAUAGUUGGGUGUGAAAGAAAGAAUAAAAGGAAAUGCUGAAAUACUCUGCAGGUCAAGUAGUAUCUCUGGAGAUAGAACCAAUGUUAACAAUUCCGAACUGGAAAAGAGAGAAAACAAGUGUGUUUAAAACUGAGCAUCCGGUUAAGAUGUAUCACAGCUUGGUAUGGCAACUGCUCUGCCCAAAACCGCAAGAAGUCACAGAGAGUUGUGUACACAGCUCAAUCCAUCACAGAAACUAACCUCUCCUGCAUCGACUCUGUCUACACUUCCCACUGCCUCAGGAAAGCAUUAUCAAAGACCCCUCCCACCCUGGUCAUUCUCUCUUCUCCCUCUUCCAGUCAGGCAUAAGAUACAAAAGCUUGAAACAAGCACCACCAGGCUAAAGGACACCUUCUAUCCCAUUGUUAUGAGUCUCUUGAAGGAACCUCUUGUAUGAUAAAGAUGAACUCUUGAUCUCUCAGUCCACCUCACCAUAGCCCUUGCACCUUAUUUGUCUACCUGCACUGUACGUUCUCUGUAACUUUAACACUAUAUUCCACAUUCUGUUACCACUUUUUCCCCUUUGUACUACCUCAAGAUACUUAUGUUUUGGAAUGAUCUGUAUACAGGGAAUGCAAAACAAAGUUUUUCACUGUGUAUCAGUACAUGUGCUAAUAAUAAACCAAUUACCAAUUGUGGAGAGAGGGAGGGGUGAAUGGGACAAAGGGGAUGUCUGUGAUGCGAUGAAGGUAUCCAGGUCACACAAAAGCUGGUAGUGCUGUUGAGCAGCGGAUGAUUAAUGUUUGUUAACCUGAUCUGAUCUGUCUGUAGGAAUGUUGGGAGAGGGAGAGGAAUAAGAGGAAGAGAAAGAUAUUACAAGUGGGCGAUACAAAACAGCAGCUGAUGGCAGUCUGAAAUAAAGGAAGAUGCUGGAAGUACUUGGCAGAGUGGUUGCCAUCUACAGAGGGGGAAAAGAAAGCUGAGUUAAUAUUGCAGGUUGAUGACCUUAUGUUGGAACUGACUGCUCAUCUGAAAUUGUUGAAUACAAUCAGGUGUCCCAAGGGCUACAAUAUGCCAAGACAGAAGAUGCUGUUCCUUAAGCUUAUGUUGAGGUUCAUUGGAACAGUGAAAGAAGUCCAAGACAAGAGAAGUUAAAAUAGAGAAUUAAAGUGAAAGGCAACUCAAGCUCAGGGGUACCAAUUCCAGGUUUCUGCAAAGUAGCCACCCAAUCUACAUUUGUACCUGUCACUUACCUGGCUAAUGUACCUCCUGGAGUCACAUUUUAAUGAGUGGGUUGAGGGUUUGUUGCAGUAUAUCUCAAAGGUGUUGUACGAUGUCUUCAAUCCAAUAUGCAUGGAGUUAAUGCCAACUGAUGUCAGGAGGAUGACUGUAGUCCUAGCAGACAGCUUUCCAUCUGCUGCUCCCCAGCAAGAGAGAAAUGUAGACACAAGAGACUGCAGAUGCUGGAAUCUGGAGCAAAAACCAGCUUCUGGAGGAACUCAGCAGGUCAGGAAGCAUCUGUGGAGGGAAAUGGACAGUCGACAUUUCGGGUCGAGACCAUUCAUCUGGAUUCAGAGGGAAAUGUAGUUAGCUUUCUUUGAGAAUGUCAUUGACUCCCUUAUACAACUGAGGACGGUAAAUAGUUGGCUUUUGCAAAUUUUGCUAGCUGCAGCCUGGAAAGACCCUGGUGCACAAAAUUUCAUGGGUAGGGUGAUCAUAGCAGCCAAUGACAAUGCAGUUCACACCCUGCUCUGUAGUUAUUUCUUGUCCUGUUGGCAGAUUUCAGAGAGGGCACUGUAACUGAAGCACAGGCAUAUCACACCACACUCUUUGCCAAGAUUGGGCAGGAGAUUCAUUCUACCUUCAAGCGGCUUGUAUUUCUCUCUGUAAUCCUCUGCUCAUUCUCCCGGUUGAUUUCUGCUUCUUCAAUGAUUUCUUUGGCUAUAUUUGGGUUGUCAGCCUAUUUAUCUGCCUAACAAUAAGUUGGUAUUGGUAUUGGUUUAUUAUUGUCACUUGUACUGAGGUACAGUGAAAAACUUGUCUUACAAACAGAUCUUACAGGACAAUUCAUUACACAGUGCAGUUACAUCAAGUUAGAACAGACUGCAUUGAUGUAGUACAGGUAAAAAAAACAAUAACAGUACAGAGUAAAGUGUCACAGCUACAGAGAAAGUGCAGUGCAAUAAGGUGCAAGGUCACAACAAGGUAGAUCGUGAGGUCUUGAGGUCACAGGUCAUAGUCCAUCUCAUUGUAUAAGGGAACUGUUGUAAAUAAGUUGUAGAUAAGUCAAAUUCCUUCAGCCAAAGAAUUGAAGAUGAAGUCAUUGUUUUGAGCUCCCAGCAUAAACUCCAUUCCCUUAUCAUUGACUACCAUCCCCAACUUCAGCUAUUCAUCAGGCUGAGUCAGGUAAUGGGACAUCUGAUCACCCUAAUGAAUUUAAACUGACCACAUUCUAUCCAUUUCUAAGAUUCAGUAACAGCAGCUGCCCUGACCUGCUGAAACCCUUUUACCACAUCUCGCUUCAACUUUUCUUAUACCAUCCUUUCCAGUUUUCCAUUUUCACCCUUCAAAUCUACAUGCUGUUUCCUGUCUCAUAAUGAAUCCAACUGGCUCAUUGCUCCCAGUAUACAUUAACAACACUGCCAUUUUUUACACCCAAUGCAGCGAUUGUAAAAUCUUUAUCUUCAACUUCAUGGCUUUGCCCCAAGCUGUUUCUGUAAGCUCCUCCAACCUAUAGAAAAUAUAUUAAAUUCCUCACCUGUCUCCUUCAUUCCUAUUACUCUUGUAUUCUGUGCACCCCCACCCCCUUCUCUCCAACCCACACUUGUGGCAGAUACUUUAACUGUCAUCGCACCUAGCAAGCUUCAGCAGUGUGGCAAGUUCAGGAAUUUGUUCAGCGUGGGAAGAAGGUGUUUUUAUGUGCCAUGGAUAUUUGUGAUUUGUGGAAGCUUCAGGCAGUAAACAUGAAUAUUUCAUUUCCUGCUCUGUGCAUUAGUGUGUUAGCUUUCUGCAGACUAAAAGUUAUAUAGGCUAUCAGUAGGUAAAUUAAUUAUUUAAAAACAAAUUAAAAAUCAAGCGAAAGGAAACUUCAGUUCAGUGAAUAUUUUAAGUAAGACUUGAUAAGGGCAGAUAAUGUCUUGCAACUGCAGUAUGUGGGAGCUUAUGCAGACCAGUCACAUCAGCAUUAAGAUUUUACAUCUGAGGCACUUUGGCUCAGAGUUAGAGCUGGAGGCGAAGGAUCAGACAGUGUGAGUAUCUAGACAGGGUAACCUCAGCAGUUUGAUCCAGGAAGUAGUUAAGAUGUGACUUUCAAUCAGUAGCUAUGGGGAUCCAGGAUCCAAUGAUUCAGUAACAACAAGCUUUGACCUUGUACUGUACACUUGCUGCCUGUAAACAAAGCUGUGAAGGGACAUUGGCAAUUUGACUAUGGUACCUGGUGCAAGAAAGCAAACUGAGGAAAUCAAAAUGAUAGAUACAGUAUAUUCAGGGAGAUGGAUACUGAUCUCUGUAGUGGUGACCAAGAGUCAUAAAGGCUGUUUUGCCUGCCCAAUGUCACGGUAAGGGACUUCACCUGGGGGUUGGAAAAAAACUUGGAAUGGAAGCAGGAGAAUGUGGCUGUUGCAGUCCUUACAGGAACCAAAAUCAUUGCUAGAACUAAGUAAAAUGUUCUGCUGAAAGACCUUGAAGAAUUGGGGACCAAAUUAAAAUCCAAAAUCUCAAAGGUAAUAAACUCAAAUUUUUGCCUGAACUUUUUGCUGGUACUGAUACAUUGAUACUGAUUUCAAUGGAUCAGUGAGCUAAAUUGUAGCUCAAUGAGUGUAGUGUGAAGAAGAUGUUUCGAUUCAUUUGUCAUGAGCACCAAUAUGGGGGAAGAGAGAGCAUGUCCAUUGGGACCAAAUCCAUGUAGACCAGCUGGAACCUAUAUUCUGCGAGUUACUUGCCAGGGCUUCAGGCUAAUAAAGGAGGCAGGGUUCAAGUGAGGGAAAGAUUGUAGAUUUAAAGGGAAAGGAUGAGGCUAUAAAGUGAAGUUCCAAUUUGGAUAAUGUUAAGCCAAGUGAGACAAGCGUACUUGGUAAGAAAGGAUGAGCAAAAUGAAACAGGAGUCCAGAGUGGAAUGGUAGAGCAGUGGCAAGGAAUGAGCUUUGCAGAGAAGAACAGGAAAUAGUUUCAGUAUGGGUGGAGAUAAGAGAUAACAAGGGACGAAAAAAAGUACAUUUGGAGUAGUUUAUAGAUUCCUUAAGAACAGCAGCACAAUUAUUCAUGAAAUCAGAAGACCUUGUAGUGAAGGUAAUACUAUAUUUCCAGGGGUGUCAGAUUAAUUGAGCAAAUCAAAUAAGCAAAAAGAAUUUGGAAAAUGCAUUCAUAGCAUGUAUUCAGGCAGUUUUCUGGAACAAUGUUAAUUAAUGAUCUAUAAGAUAGGAUAUCUUUAUCAGUCACAUGUACAUCGAAAUGCACCUUUUGUGUAGAGUGUUCUGGGGGCAGCCCACAAGUGUCGCCACGCUUCCGGCACCAACGUAGUAUGCCCACAACUUCCUAACCCGUACGUCUUUGGAAUGUGGUAGAAAACCGGACCAUCCAGAGGAAACCCACGCAGACACGGGGAGAACAUACAAACUCCUUACAGACAGUAGCCGGAAUUGAACCCAGGUCACUGGUGCCGUAAUAACGUUACGCUAACCAUGACACUACUGUGCCUCUACAGAAUAGUGAUCACAAUAUGAUGGCACUUUGCAAGUAGUUUGAGAGAGGCCCUGAUUAGUCAGAAGCUAAAGUUUUGGAAAACCAAGCCAAUUAUGUAGGUGUGGAGGGUAAAGUAGCUAAGGUAAGUUGGAAACUUCAAUUAACAGUCAGAUAAAUAAUGUCAAGCAGUUAAGCUAAUUCAAAAUUCCCAAAACAAUGUACAUUCCUCUGAGGAAUAAAAGAAAUCCACAAGAUCCAUCUAUGGCAAACUAAGGAGAUUAAGGAUAAUAUUUUAUUAAAGGGAGAGAAAAAAACAGACUCUAUAGCAGCUAAUAAAACUGCUGGAGGAACUCAAUGGGUUAGGCAGCAUCUGUAGAGGCAGAGGGAUGGCUGACAUUUCUUAAUGCAGAGUCUCAACCUGAAAAGUUGACUUUCCCUCUGCCUCCACAGAUGCUGCCUGACCUGCUGAGUUUCUCCAGCAGUUUAUUUUGAGCUCCAAAUUCCAGCAUCAGCAGUCUCUUGUGUCUCUCUAGUGCAACUAACCUGAUAUAUAAAAUGCUGGAUUCCAUCAUAAAGGACAUGUUAAUAGAAUUCUCCAAAAAUCAUAAUAUAUUAAUGCAAAGAAAACACCGUUUCCAUAGAACCAUAGAACUAUAGAACCAUACAGCACAAAACAGGCCCUUCGGCCCACCGUGUUGUGCCGUCCAUCAGACCACCCUCACACUACCUAACCCCUUCCUCCCGCAUAUCCCACUAUCUCACGUUCCUCCAUAUGCCUAUCCAACAAGCUCUUGAACCUGUUCAAUGUAUCUGCCUCCACCACCACCCCAGGCAGUGCAUUCCAUGCACCAACCACUCUUUGGAUGAAAAACCUCCCUCUGACAUCUCCCCUGAACCUCCCACCCAUAACCUUAAAGCCAUGACCUCUCAUCUUGAGCAUUGGUGCCCUGGGAAGGAGGCACUGACUGUCUACUCUAUCUAUUCCUCUCAAUAUUUUAUAUACCUCUAUCAUGUCUCCUCUCAUCCUCCUCCUUUCCAGUGAAUAAAGCCCUAGCACCUUAAGCCUCUCCUCAUAUUCAAUACUCUCCAAUCCAGGCAGCAUCCUGGUAAAUCUCCUCUGCACCCUCUCCAAUGCCUCCAGAUCCUUCCUAUAAUGAGGCGACCAGAACUGAACACAGUACCCUAAGUGUGGCCUAACUAGAGUUUUGUAAAGCUGCAAAGAGAGAAAGUUUUGUAAAGCUACAAAGACUUCAGAAAGAGAAGUCUUGGUAAGAUUAUACAGAACUUUGGUGAGGCUCAAUUUGAAGAAAUAUCACAUUAUUAUCUUUCAUAUUAUCUUUGCCUAAGAAUCAAUGUAGAGUGGGUUCAACAGAUUGAUCCCUGGGAUGAGAUGUUGUCCAAUGAGAAGAGAUUGAGUAACUUUGGCCUGUUCUCCCUAGAAGUUAGCAGAAUGAGAGAGGUGAUCUCAUUGACAUCUCUCAACCCCCUGAAAAGGGUCAAUAGUGUAGAUAUGGGGAGGCUAUCUCUGCUGGACGCAGGGCAGGGGAAGGAGGGAGCAGAGCCCAAAACCAAGGGGCAUAGCCCCAGGAUAAGAGGUCAGCCAUUCAUGGGAUAUCUUUAUUAUUAGUCACAUGUACAUCGAAACACACUGUGAAAUGCAUCUUUUGCGUAGAGCGUUCUGGGGGCAGCCCAAAAGUGUUGCCACGCUUCCGGCACCAACAUAGCAUGUCCACAACUUCCUAACCCGUGCAUCUUUGGAAUGUGGGAGGAAACCGGAGCACCCGGAGGAAAUCCACGCAGACACACGGGGAGAACGUACAAACUCCUUACAGACAGUGGCCGGAAUUGAACCUGGGUCACUGCAGCUGUAAUAGCGUUACGCUAACCGCUACACUACCAUUGCUAAAUUUUUGGACACAAGGCAGAAACAGGUAUUAGAUAGCAAAAGGGAAUUGAGGCACAAGAUGAGUUGGUCUUACUGAAUGGUGGAGCAAGAUCAAGGGGCCACGAGGCCUACUCUUGCUUUUAUUUCUUACAUGACUUUUUUUUUUGCCUUUGCCAUUCAGUUUCACCUGUCUCUUUUAAUAAAUGUUUUUAAUCUCUAUCUUUUCAAACAAGUUUUUGUUCAUCACCUCAAACUCCUGGCUCAACUUAUGCUCUUUUCUAAUUUAAAUUCUCAUUAAGGGACAUUGAAAUGUUUCCCUGCAUUAAAUCGCUAUAAAAAUACAACUUGUUACUCGCUCUGACUAAAUUGAUUAUUCCUCAAUCAAUCACAAAUGUAAGUUAUUUCACCAUUACUAUAGACAACAGCAAUGUACAGCAAAGUACGUAUAAUGGUUUAAAAAUGUCACAUCUCUGUGCAUUUGCUUACAAAACCAUGUUUGCUGUUGCCACUUUUUUCUUGCACUUUCCUAUUAUAAGCUCCUAUUUCCGCCUCUCAUGGGAUCUGCCAGUAUCAACUUGUCGCAUGAAAUUAGACUUCUGCCAGUUGUUAUGAUGUAAUGUCUCAGUUCUUUGCCUGUUGUGUUAACUAAGUCAUUAACCUGUAAAAAAUAAACGCUCUUCCUUAAAACAACAAAGGCAUUUAAUACGCAUAUUCAGUAUUAGUGCUAUAAUCUCACUCGCCCAGGUUUCUGCAUUAUGCUUUUGGUUUAUUUAACGUUGGCUGUACAUUGGUUUUAUUUGGUGCGCUUCCCUCCUUCAAGUGAUAAUUAUUGUCUAGAAAAUAAUAAGUUUCCUACCCGUCUCCCAAAUAAACAUAUAACAGAAAUAAGACUGGAUUAAAUUAAUCUUCCCACUUAUCUCUCAGUGAAAAGUUGAGUGAAAUUCAAACUAUAACAACAUACAGCACAUUUAACGUGACAGU